ACGGCGAGUGAAGCGGGAUGAGCUCAAAUUUGUAAUCUGGUGGACUCAGUUCAUCCGAAUUGUAAUCUAUAGAAAAGUUUUCCGCGCUGGACCGUGUCUAAGUCCCUUGGAACAGGGUGUCAGAGAGGGUGAGAAUCCCGUGCUUGAUACGACCACCAGUGCUAUGUGAUACUUUUUCAACGAGUCGAGUUGUUUGGGAAUGCAGCUCAAAAUGGGUGGUAAAUUCCAUCUAAAGCUAAAUAUUGGCGAGAGACCGAUAGCGAACAAGUACCGUGAGGGAAAGAUGAAAAGCACUUUGGAAAGAGAGUUAAACAGUACGUGAAAUUGUUAAAAGGGAAACGAUUGAAGUCAGUCGUGCUCUCUAGGACUCAGCCAGUUCUUCUGGUGUAUUUCCUAGUGAGCGGGUCAACAUCAGUUUAGAUCGCUGGAUAAGGUCAUUAGGAAUGUGGCUCCCUCGGGAGUGUUAUAGCCUAGUGUCGCAUACAGUGGUUUAGACUGAGGAACGCAGCUCGCCUUUAUGGCCGGGGUUCGCCCACGUCCGAGCUUAGGAUGUUGACAUAAUGG
rnacentral:sRNA from 1 species